CCCGUCACAUCACGAAAGUGGAUUGUACUAGAAGUCUGUGCGCUAACCCGCAAGGAGGCAGCGCCCAAGGUAUGAUUCAUGAUUGGGUGUA
rnacentral:rRNA from 1 species